rnacentral:rRNA from 1 species
AACGAACGCUGGCGGCGUGCUUAACACAUGCAAGUCGAGCGGUAAGGCCCUUUCGGGGGUACACGAGCGGCGAACGGGUGAGUAACACGUGGGUGACCUGCCCUCAGCUCUGGGAUAAGCCCGGGAAACUGGGUCUAAUACCGGAUAUGACUCCAUGACGCAUGUUGUGGGGUGGAAAGCCUUGUGCGGCUGAGGAUGGGCCCGCGGCCUAUCAGCUUGUUGGUGGGGUGAUGGCCACCAAGGCGACGACGGGUAGCCGGCCUGAGAGGGCGACCGGCCACACUGGGACUGAGAUACGGCCCAGACUCCUACGGGAGGCAGCAGUGGGGAAUCUUGCGCAAUGGGCGAAAGCCUGACGCAGCGACGCCGCGUGA